rnacentral:rRNA from 1 species
UACGAAGGGUGCUAGCGUUGCUCGGAAUCACUGGGCGUAAAGCGCACGUAGGCGGUUUGUUAAGUCAGGGGUGAAAUCCUGGAGCUCAACUCCAGAACUGCCUUUGAUACUGGCGGUCUCGAGUCCGGGAGAGGUGAGUGGAACUGCGAGUGUAGAGGUGAAAUUCGUAGAUAUUCGCAAGAACACCAGUGGCGAAGGCGGCUCACUGGCCCGGUACUGACGCUGAGGUGCGAAAGCGUGGGGAGCAAACAGG